CUUUGAGAAAUGGAAAGUAUAUCAUGGAAGUAGGGGUGAUAUUUAUUUAUUUAUUGGCUUUAUUAUAGGCUAGAUACUUUGUAAAAUUGUGAUGAUUAAGAAAUGAGAAAUUUAUGCAGUUAUGAUGCAGUAAAGAAGACCUACAAGAAAAUGUGGGCUGGCAUUCCAGGCUGACAGAGACAAUUUCCUGGGGACUCUCAGGCCUGACAACUAGACAUUUAAUCCUAAAAUCCCAUGGAGCCAGUUGGUUAUUGAAGACCUUAAGGCAAUAUCAUGAUGUUUUAAGAGCAGACUCCAGAUCUGAUGGCCUGAAUUCAUACCAACUCUUAGGUAAGUUAUUCUGUAUAAAUUUUUACCUCUCUGAGCCCCAGUUUCCUCAUUUGUAAAAUGGGUAUAAUAGCAGCUUUCUUGUAGAUGGUCAUGAAGAUUAAAUGUUACAGGUAAUCCACAUUAAUUGCUUAAUACAAUUGCUUGGUGGUUAGUAUACAUUAUCUAUAUAGUGUCAUUUGUCCUUCUCAUAUUCAAAUAUCUUUAUGAUUUCAUUGUUACAGUGCCUGCUAGUAGAACUGAUGGUGUGUUAAGCAACAGGGAUCAAUUAUCUUCCUGACAAAGUGUCAUUAUCUCAUGGGCCCAGAUAUAGUCAGAGAUAGCCUGAUCUCUUAGCAAUAUUUGCCAUGGAUAUGGGAGGAGGAGUGCCAGCAUAUAUGCUUCUUAGUUGUCAUUCUUUUCUGUAGGCCUCUAGGAGGUAAGAACUGGAAUAAGGAAGCCUCAACUGUGUGAAUGUCAGGGGGAAGCAGCCAGUAAAGGGGGAUGUCUGGAUAGAGGAAGCAGAGCACCAAGAGGAUCAGGACAGCUAGGAAAUGCUCGGGAGGUGGAUUGGGAAGGAUGUAAAGCAGAAGAUGGCAUUCAGAAAGCUAAAUUUACCAGUUUUAGGAGAUUUAAAGCUGGGGUGGUGGCACCAAAGAGGGAAUUACUGAUUUUUUGUGGGUGAAGGA
rnacentral:lncRNA from 1 species